rnacentral:rRNA from 1 species
AUUGAACGCUGGCGGCAUGCCUUACACAUGCAAGUCGAACGGCAGCACGGGAGCAAUCCUGGUGGCGAGUGGCGAACGGGUGAGUAAUAUAUCGGAACGUGCCCAGUAGUGGGGGAUAGCCCGGCGAAAGCCGGAUUAAUACCGCAUACGACCUGUGGGUGAAAGCGGGGGAUCGCAAGACCUCGCGCUAUUGGAGCGGCCGAUAUCAGAUUAGCUAGUUGGUGGGGUAAAGGCCUACCAAGGCGACGAUCUGUAGCUGGUCUGAGAGGACGACCAGCCACACUGGGACUGAGACACGGCCCAGACUCCUACGGGAGGCAGCAGUGGGGAAUUUUGGACAAUGGGCGCAAGCCUGAUCCAGCCAUGCCGCGUGUGGGAAGAAGGCCUUCGGGUUGUAACCACUUU